rnacentral:rRNA from 1 species
AGCGAACGCUGGCGGCAGGCCUAACACAUGCAAGUCGAGCGGCCGUGGCAAUACGGCAGCGGCAGACGGGAGAGUAACACGUGGGAACGCGCCCUUCGGUUCGGAAUAACUCAGGGAAACUUGGGCUAAUACCGGAUACGCCCUUACGGGGAAAGAUUUAUUGCCGAAGGAACGGCCCGCGUCCGAUUAGCUAGUUGGUGAGGUAAUGGCUCACCAAGGCGACGAUCGGUAGCUGGUCUGAGAGGAUGACCAGCCUCACUGGGACUGAGACACGGCCCAGACUCCUACGGGAGGCAGCAGUGGGGAAUAUUGGACAAUGGGCGCAAGCCUGAUCCAGCCAUGCCGCGUGGGUGAUGAAGGCCCUAGGGUUGUAAAGCCCUUUCGGCGGGGAAGAUAAUGACGGUACCCGCAGAAGAAGCCCCGGCUAACUUCGUGCCAGCCGCCGCAGUAAGAC